GAUGAACGCUGGCGGCGUGCCUAAUACAUGCAAGUCGAGCGAACAGACGAGGAGCUUGCUCCUCUGACGUUAGCGGCGGACGGGUGAGUAACACGUGGAUAACCUACCUAUAAGACUGGGAUAACUUCGGGAAACCGGAGCUAAUACCGGAUAAUAUAUUGAACCGCAUGGUUCAAUAGUGAAAGACGGUUUUGCUGUCACUUAUAGAUGGAUCCGCGCCGCAUUAGCUAGUUGGUAAGGUAACGGCUUACCAAGGCAACGAUGCGUAGCCGACCUGAGAGGGUGAUCGGCCACACUGGAACUGAAACACGGUCCAGACUCCUACGGGAGGCAGCAGUAGGGAAUCUUCCGCAAUGGGCGAAAGCUUGACGGAGCAACGCCACGUGAGUGAUGAAGGUCUUCGGAUCGUAAAACUCUGUUAUUAGGGAAGAACAAAUGUGUAAGUAACUAUGCACGUCUUGACGGUACCUAAUCAGAAAGCCACGGCUAACUACGUG
rnacentral:rRNA from 1 species